UACGUAGGGGGCGAGCGUUGUCCGGAGUUACUGGGCGUAAAGCGCACGCAGGCGGUCUGCUAAGUUUGGAGUGACAGUUGGUGGCUUAACUGCCAAAGUGCUUCGAAAACUGACAGGCUUGAGGGCUUCAGAGGGACACGGAAUUCCGGGUGGAGUGGUGAAAUGCGUAGAGAUCCGGAGGAACACCAAAGGCGAAGGCAGUGUCCUGGGGAGUCCCUGACGCUCAGGUGCGAAAGCCAGGGGAGCGAACAGG
rnacentral:rRNA from 1 species